UCUUAAGUGUUCUAGUUAUAGAAAUAACCGUUUGUGUUCAACUCUUGAGAGAGAACAGUGUUUAAAAGUGUUACUUUUUUUUCUUUCUUUUUUCUUUUCGUUUGUUUUCUUCUUUUUUUUUCUUUUUUUCCUUUCUUUUUUCCUUUUUUUUUUAUCUAUUUAUUUAUUUUUAUUUUAUUUUUUUUUUUGGGUAAAUUCCUAAAUACAUCUUAACCUAAAGUUUCAGGAAGAGUCUUUGGUGGAUGACUCAUUACUUCAAGAUGAUGACGAAGAAGAAGAGGACAAUGAAUCUCGUUCUUGGAGAAGAUGAUUUGACUGAUCAUUGAUCUGCAUAUGCUAGAACUCUACCUGUGUUUCAUUAGUAUUAUCUAAUGUACUUUUACAUAUUUGUAAAAACAAUUUUUGGUAAAAUAUGAUGACGAUGGAUUUCACAAAUAGAUAAAAGAGAAGAAAACUACCUUCUGAUCUUGUAUUUUGAAGAUUGAUGUUUGCAUUUUAUUUCAGUAAACAAUUGCUAAAGACAUCACAAUAGGACAUAUGCAAUGUUUUAUUACAUACUUCUAUUGAACAUUACAGAAUUCUUUGGGUUAUUUGUAAAUUAAUGAAUAGAUUUCAAUACUUAUGACCCAAUACUUGUUAUAACAUAGAGGAUUUUGUUUUACUCCAAAUAAGGAAUGAAUUUGCAUUUAAAAUCUUAAUGAAUGUUUUAAAAAAUGAAUAGAUGACAUAGUACGCUAACUAAAGUCCCCAAGUUAUGUAUUCAUAAUACUGCAUAGUAGUGUGCUUAGGCUUUACUAUGUAUUAGCCGUUUGUUGGAUUUGUGUAUGUAUUUUAUCACAUGGGUGUUAAUGAUAAUGGUGUAUGACUGCUUUACAUAUGAGUCCUUAUGCAUCUGGAUGCUAAAAAUAAAGUGGAAUGGUCUCUUAAAAGAAAAAAGAAAAGAAAAAAAAGCAAUGACAAAAAAAAAUUCAUGACAACGUUCCUUGAUUUAAAAAAGAAAAAAGAAAAAGAAAAAAAAAAGAAAAAAGAAAAAAAAAGAAAAAAGAGAAAAAAGAG
rnacentral:lncRNA from 1 species